ACGGGUGAGUAAUGCCUAGGAAUCUGCCUGGUAGUGGGGGAUAACGUUCGGAAACGGACGCUAAUACCGCAUACGUCCUACGGGAGAAAGCAGGGGACCUUCGGGCCUUGCGCUAUCAGAUGAGCCUAGGUCGGAUUAGCUAGUUGGUGAGGUAAUGGCUCACCAAGGCGACGAUCCGUAACUGGUCUGAGAGGAUGAUCAGUCACACUGGAACUGAGACACGGUCCAGACUCCUACGGGAGGCAGCAGUGGGGAAUAUUGGACAAUGGGCGAAAGCCUGAUCCAGCCAUGCCGCGUGUGUGAAGAAGGUCUUCGGAUUGUAAAGCACUUUAAGUUGGGAGGAAGGGCCAUUACCUAAUACGUGAUGGUUUUGACGUUACCGACAGAAUAAGCACCGGCUAACUCUGUGCCAGCAGCCGCGGUAAUACAGAGGGUGCAAGCGUUAAUCGGAAUUACUGGGCGUAAAGCGCGCGUAGGUGGUUUGUUAAGUUGGAUGUGAAAUCCCCGGGCUCAACCUGGGAACUGCAUUCAAAACUGACUGACUAGAGUAUGGUAGAGGGUGGUGGAAUUUCCUGUGUAGCGGU
rnacentral:rRNA from 1 species